rnacentral:rRNA from 1 species
GACGAACGCUGGCGGCGUGCCUAAUACAUGCAAGUCGAGCGGACCAAGAAGAGCUUGCUCUUUGAGGUUAGCGGCGGACGGGUGAGUAACACGUGGGCAACCUGCCUGUAAGCUUGGGAUAACUCCGGGAAACCGGUGCUAAUACCGAAUACAACAAAGGACCGCAUGGUCCCUUGUGAAAAGACCUUGUGUCACUUACAGAUGGGCCCGCGGCGCAUUAGCUUGUUGGUGGGGUAACGGCCUACCAAGGCGACGAUGCGUAGCCGACCUGAGAGGGUGAUCGGCCACACUGGGACUGAGAAACGGCCCAGACUCCUACGGGAGGCAGCAGAAGGGAAUCUUCCGCAAUGGACGAAAGUCUGACGGAGCAACGCCGCGUGAGCGAUGAAGGUUUUCGGAUCGUAAAGCUCUGUUGUCAGGGAAGAACCGCCGGGAUAACCUCCCGGUCUGACGGUACCUGGCGAGAAAGCCCCGGCUAACUACGUGCCAGCAGCCGCCGUAACAC